rnacentral:rRNA from 1 species
AGUUUGACUGGGGCGGUCUCCUCCUAAAGAGUAACGGAGGAGCACGAAGGUUGGCUAAUCCUGGUCGGACAUCAGGAGGUUAGUGCAAUGGCAUAAGCCAGCUUGACUGCGAGCGUGACGGCGCGAGCAGGUGCGAAAGCAGGUCAUAGUGAUCCGGUGGUUCUGAAUGGAAGGGCCAUCGCUCAACGGAUAAAAGGUACUCCGGGGAUAACAGGCUGAUACCGCCCAAGAGUUCAUAUCGACGGCGGUGUUUGGCACCUCGAUGUCGGCUCAUCACAUCCUGGGGCUGAAGUAGGUCCCAAGGGUAUGGCUGUUCGCCAUUUAAAGUGGUACGCGAGCUGGGUUUAGAACGUCGUGAGACAGUUCGGUCCCUAUCUGCCGUGGGCGCUGGAGAACUGAGGGGGGCUGCUCCUAGUACGAGAGGACCGGAGUGGACGCAUCACUGGUGUUCGGGUUGUCAUGCCAAUGGCACUGCCCGGUAGCUAAAUGCGGAAGAGAUAAGUGCUGAAAGCAUCUAAGCACGAAACUUGCCCCGAGAUGAGUUCUCCCUGACCCUUUAAGGGUCCUGAAGGAACGUUGAAGACGACGACGUUGAUAGGCCGGGUGUGUAAGCGCAGCGAUGCGUUGAGCUAACCGGUACUAAUGAACCGUGAGGCUUAACCUUACAACGCCGAAG